UCUCCUGAAUAUAUUUUUCCAUUUUCCAUAAGACUGAAAAGUAAUAUAAGCUCUAGAAAUCUACUAAAAAGUCUCUACAAAAAGUAGGAGAUGAAGAGGACUGUGAUACAGAGGAGGGUCAUGACGAAAUGAGCGAGCCGGAAGAGGAGCUUGAAGCUAACCCUGGUCAGCUUUAUGGUCAGAGACUAUAAAGACCUGGAAAAAGUAGUGCUGUCUUUUUGGUUUGAUGUUAUCUUGAAGACAGGACUAGAUAUUGGGAGGAACAACGAGGAAGAUGCAUUCUACAAAGGUGAACUCAGGCUGAAUGGGGAAAAAUUAUGGAAGAAAAGCAGAACGGUGAAAGUGGGAGAUACAUUGGAUCUUCUCAUUGAAGGGGAUAAAGAAGCAGGAAUAGAGACAGUGAUACGAAUUCUCUUGGAAAAAGUGUUUGAAGAGAAGACUGCAAAUGAAAAAGACAGAGUGGUGUUGGGACGCUGCAAGAAGUUAGAGUUGCCUAAGAAGAAUAUGUCUAAAUAAAUGGAUUGAUUUUUAGUGAUAAAAAUGCUUUUUAGUGGUUGGGGAAGGGGCCAAAUUAUAAAGAGGACAUUUUUAUUAAAAUAAAGGUCUCUUACCAUUUGUGGAAAA